rnacentral:antisense_RNA from 1 species
CUUCAGCGAGCCGAGCUGGAGCGGAUGCGGGCGGGCCUGGCCGUAGGUGGCCAGCAGGGCCUGGGCUUC